rnacentral:antisense_RNA from 1 species
UGCAGUGCUGGGAUUACAGGCAUGAGCCACUGCGCCCGGCCUAAUAUCUGAAAUUAAGAACUCAACAGAUGGGGUCAACAGGACACUGGGCACAACAGAAGACAUAAGUGGUGAACUCAUAGACAAGUGAACAAAAAACUUCCCAGUUGGAUUACAGAGAAGAAAGAAUGGAAAAAACAGAACAGGACAUAACAGAUGUGAUCAAAAGGCCUAAUAUAUGUGUAAUUGGAGUCCCAGGAGUGAAGAGUGAAAAUGAGGCAGAAAAAAAUUCAAGUGAGAAUGGCUGAGAAUUUCCCCAAAUUGAUGAAAGGCAUCCACCCACAAAUCCCAAUUUUGUACUUCCAACCACUGUUAUACCACCCCCCUCAACAAUGCCUAUAAAUGUUUGUUGAAAAUGAGUGAAUGAAUGAACUCCAAUCAUUUUCUCACUUGGAUGUUCCCUACUUUCUGCUCUUCUUAGAAAAUAAUAAAUGGUACAAUAAUAUCUUCCA